UACGGAGGAUGCGAGCGUUAUCCGGCUUUAUUGGGUUUAAAGGGUGCGCAGGCGGAGGCACAAGUCAGCGGUAAAAUCGUGGGGCUCAACCCCAUCCAGCCGUUGAAACUGGGGAUCUAGAGUGUGCGAGAGGUAUGCGGAAUGCGUGGUGUAGCGGUGAAAUGCAUAGAUAUUGCGCAGAACUCCGAUUGCGAAGGCAGCAUGCCGGCUCCACACUGACGCUGAGGCACGAAAGCGUGGGUAUCGAACAGG
rnacentral:rRNA from 1 species